GCCUUGCCCAAUUUUUUCCGCGAGGUUGACUUGCACAAUGGCUUGGAAUCUUCAGAAGGCAUGUCCAAUGUCUCGGUGUUUUCAGUCCGCGGUUGAGUUUGAACUGGUGAGGGUUCUCUCUGUCUCUGUUCACGAAACAACAUCAAAAGCUUCUGAGCUUUUUGCUUUCCUCUCAUAGUCCCAUUUACUGAUACCGACACCAAUGAAGGUAUCACUCCUUCUUGAAGGACCAUUUGGCUGCACUUCUCAUUUCCAUUGCAUAAUAUCAACAUACAAGCUGCAGCUUGCUCCUGUUCUAAAGGCUCCCCAACGUCCAAAACCGUUGCAAGACUACUGAUAAGACCAGGAGAUGACACAAUUUCAUCCCUUGCAGAUUUACUUAGAGAUAGGUUUAUAAGAACCGCUAUGCAUUUUUCUGUCGUAUGGUCAUCCGUAUAUGACAUAAGAGUUUUCAGUCCAUCCAGAAUGCCAGCUGACAGAAGGUGUGGAGUAUUUGUUGGAUUACUGGAGAGAUUAAAUAGUGCAUGGAGGGCAUCCAGCUUACAUUGAGUAUCGGUCUCACGCUGUAGGACUCCGAUCAAGAAUGGAAUGGCUUCACCAGAACCAAUAAUGGGCUUGGCUUCCUCAAGGCACGAAAGAUUCAGGUAAAGAGCUGUCGCUGCACUGAUUGCACUGGAAGUAGCAACCAUUCUUCCCAGCAAAGGAAGAACACCCGCCGCCAGCAUCAACUCCUUGUUCCUGUUAUUAUUUACUCCAAGGUUGAAGAGGGCCAUGGUUCCGAUUUCUUGAGCAAUCUCAUUCCUGGUUUGUAUAGCACACUCCAAAAACCCUAGUAGUGCUUCAAUAAAGCCAUUUGCUCCCAUAUAAAUCCUGAUUUCUUCAUCAUCCUUUAGCAGAUGCCUUAUCUGUUCUACCACUUUGCACUUUUUCCUGUAAUCUUCCCCUUCAUUUAAGAUGGCUAAGAAGUCAUCGUAUCUUUCAAGAGAAUUGUCUUGAAGCUCAUCUUCCUGGACAGAUUCAUCUACUUCAGUCCCUUCGGCCUCCUCAAUAAUACCACUAUCUUCCAAAGGAACCACCUUGACACCUUUGAACUUGCAAGAAACGAUACUUCCCGUAGAUUUGGAAUUCGUGCACUCACUUUCAGACAAAGCCAGUCUCCAGUAAUUGAGAUCAAGGGAGUCAGGUGGGCCAUCCGGAAUCGGAACCCCAUACUGUUCG
rnacentral:misc_RNA from 1 species